GACGAACGCUGGCGGCGUGCUUAACACAUGCAAGUCGAACGGAAAGGCCCUGCUUGCAGGGUACUCGAGUGGCGAACGGGUGAGUAACACGUGGGUGAUCUGCCCUGCACUUCGGGAUAAGCCUGGGAAACUGGGUCUAAUACCGGAUAGGAGCCAUUUUUAGUGUGAUGGUUGGAAAGUUUUUUCGGUGUAGGAUGAGCUCGCGGCCUAUCAGCUUGUUGGUGGGGUAAUGGCCUACCAAGGCGGCGACGGGUAGCCGGCCUGAGAGGGUGGACGGCCACAAUGGGACUGAGAUACGGCCCAGACUCCUACGGGAGGCAGCAGGGGGGAAUAAUGCACCAUGGGCGCAAGCCUGAUGCAGCGACGCCGCGGGGGGGAUGACGGCCUUCGGGUUGGAAACUCCUUUCGCUAGGGACGAAGCUUUUUGUGACGGUACCUAGAGAAGAAGCACCGGCUAACUACGUG
rnacentral:rRNA from 1 species